rnacentral:rRNA from 1 species
UACCGCAUAACGUCGCAAGACCAAAGAGGGGGACCUUCGGGCCUCUUGCCAUCGGAUGUGCCCAGAUGGGAUUAGCUUGUUGGUGGGGUAACGGCUCACCAAGGCGACGAUCCCUAGCUGGUCUGAGAGGAUGACCAGCCACACUGGAACUGAGACACGGUCCAGACUCCUACGGGAGGCAGCAGUGGGGAAUAUUGCACAAUGGGCGCAAGCCUGAUGCAGCCAUGCCGCGUGUAUGACGAAGGCCUUCGGGUUGUAAAGUACUUUCAGCGGGGAGGAAGGGAGUAAAGUUAAUACCUUUGCUCAUUGACGUUACCCGCAGAAGAAGCACCGGCUAACUCCGUGCCAGCAGCCGCGGUAAUACGGAGGGUGCAAGCGUUAAUCGGAAUUACUGGGCGUAAAGCGCACGCAG